GACUCCUUCAGUUCCUGUUUGGGCACCUCCUGAGUUUGUUACCAUGGUUACAUAUUAUUUUCACCUGCCCCUUGUGUUCGGGACGCUCACCUGUUUCCAAUCAGAGACACUAUUUAAGCCUGCCUUUGCCAGGCACCCAUCCUGGCUUCUGUGUUUUGCUUUAUGCUGUUGUUACGAACGUUUUUUGCUUGCCUCCUAGCUCAUGCUAAACUAGCAUCCGGUGCGGACGGCACUUUUCUUCUGAGUCUUGUUUUUCUGCUUUUGUGCUUCGUUGAUUUUGAAGAUUAAACUAUACACCUACCUUCAUGCUUUGUCCGUUAAAUAAAUAAAUGAUAAAUGGGUUGUACUUGCAUAGCGCUUUUGUACCUUCAAGGUACUCAAAGCGCUUUGACACUACUUCCACAUUCACCCAUUCACACACACAUUCACACACUGAUGGAGGGAGCUGCUAUGCAAGGCGCUAACCAGCACCCAUCAGGAGCAAGGGUAAAGUGUCUUGCUCAUGUAACCCAUAUUUAAAAUUCCCAUUAAAACACAUGCAUAGACUGCAAAGACUUUUAUUUUGAAGGGUUACUUCCUGCCCAAAAUGGCGCUCGCUUCCUUUUAAGGAAGUGCUGCGCACUUCACUCGUCCCUCCUGUCUGCUGUGGCUGCAUGCUGUGAGACGCACUGGAGACAAACUCGCAAAAUCUUCUUAUUCUCACACAUUGCAAACAUCAUAAUUAGCCAACCUGUUGUAUUAACUAUCGGGCUGUGCAGGUGUGUUGUUUUGCCCUCGAUUACUCAGGUCAGGUAUUUUUUCCGGGAAGGAAUACCCGGUGCCCCAAACAACCUGAGCUCCCCAUCCACUUUUACACUCAACUCAACAAAAUGGCGAGCUAAACAACUAUGCGGCUCCUAGACGAACCAUCUUCUGUUGCCCAAGUUACACUCUUAACCCGACUAGCCCAUGCUAGCGUUACACUCAGGACACAACGGACGUGACGAAGUUGGUUCUAGGUAGGGGUUGGACCAGGGACCCUCGGGUUGCGCACGGCCACUCACCACUGCGCCACGCCGUCCGUCCUGCAUCCCGGGAGAACAAACCGCGCAAUGAGCUGCAACCCAAAUCGUGACAGUGAGAAGCCAGCUUGUCAGUUCUCCCACAGCUGACAACAAGGAGAUGGAGACGCGCCGGCGAAGACGGGAGCCAGCCAGAAAGGCUUCGCCUCGUUCCCGUAACUGUCCUUUGGACAGCAGGACACCACAAUCAGCCCAGUAUUCCUCGCCGCCGGAGUUUGGUAAUCCGAUUCAUCGUUUUGCCAAACAGUUCACUCCAUGGUUGGUCAAAAAACUGCACUCUAGCUCUGAUGACAUCACCGAACCAGCGUGGGGCGAUGACAUAACUUCGUCGGCGUCAUCCAAGGAAGUCACAGACCACUAUUUUCGUUUUUUGCCUUCUGUCUCCCUUAGUCAGCCACCUCCUAAAGACUUAAAUUCGAAAAUUUAACAACUUGUUUUUAACUUUAGACUUUGUUAGCCACAUUCUCCUUCUGAUUGCCAAGUGAAGUGAAGUGAAUUAUAUUUAUAUAGCGCUUUUCUCUAGUGACUCAAAGCGCUUUACAUAGUGAAACCCAAUAUCUAAGUUACAUAUAAACCAGUGUGGGUGCCACUGGGAGCAGGUGGGUAAAGUGUCUUGCCCAAGGACACAACGGCAGUGACUAGGAUGGCGGAAGCAGGAAUCGAACCUGCAACCCUCAAGUUGCUGGCACGGCCGCUCUACCAACCGGGCUAUGCCGCCAAGCUCCUCCCCCUGAGACUCCAGCACGUCCACCACCAUCGGUCCAUCGGCGUGCCAAGCCGCAACCCCCGGCUAGGCCACCUCCGCCAAAGCCAAGGCUAGCGACCCUUUCAGCUCCAAGACCCAAAUAAUGACAGAUUAAGUCUAAUUCAGUGUUUUUGAAACUGCACCAAUUUGUUCUGCAGAUAUUUCAACUAACAAAGUGUUUUGACAAAGGGAUUAUUUGUAACAUGUACAUUUUCUGAAUGUGCUUGUUCUACUUUGGGCCAAAGUAAAACAAAGAAAUCUAUCUGAAGUUGUCAUAGUUGUGUUUUUAAGGUAGCAUGCCAUGAUUUUACCCGUCCGGCACACGUGGGAAUAGAUUUUCCCCACAUGCGGUCACUAAACUAAAAUGAGUGUGACACCCAUGUUCUAGGGAAAAAAGAUUCUUGAAUGUUUUCAAAAUGCAAUUAUUUGUACGGUAGUGUUGACAAAUAACUGCAUUUCUUUACGUUGUGAAACUAUGCUGAAUAUUUUAUCCUAUUUGAUAGUUCAUAUGUAUUCGUACAAACCCUAUAAUCUGCUAAAUUCUGUG